rnacentral:lncRNA from 1 species
GAUUUUAUUCAUUUAUUCACAAGAGACACACAGAGAGAGGCAAACAUAGAGAGAGAAGCAGUCUCCCUGGGGGGAGCCCGAUGCAGGACUGAUCCCAGCACCCCAGGACCAUGCCCUGAGUGGAAGGCAGGCACUCAACCACUGAGCCACCUAGUAAAAUUUUACUCAUGCUGUUAAGUCCAAAAAAUGUGGGAAGAAAUCGCAGGAGCUUACAGAUGAAGUGGUCUAUAUGCCAAGGAACUAGAAUUGCAGAAUCUGUCAUUAUAUAUAACAGAAACAAAACAAAGGAAAUUUAUGAAUACACGCAACAGAAAAAGUUAGUGACUGAUCUAGUUUCAGACACAUGAAUCCAGGGGCUUAAACAAUGACUACAGACAAAGCUAUGUUUCAUCAUCUCUAAGCUGUUUUUAUGUGUGUGAUUGUACCUUUCACACAGACUGAUACGUAUGGCCAACAGCAUCUCUGAGUUUAUAUUCUACAAGCUAAGUGACCCCAGCAAGAGAGUAAUCUUUCCUCAACAAUUCCCAUAAUAAGUCUCCUUUAAGUGCAGACCAGAAACCCAUCCUUGAACCAAUCGCUGUGGUCUGGGAAUAGAAUAUCCUGCUUGUCUAGGCCUGGCUCACAGCCCAGCCUUCAAAUAGGCAUGGGGUUAGGCAUUUCUGAAUCAUACUGGCUCAAAGUGGCUGAGGGUACAGAAGUCAUUCACUAAGAGAAAACUAAGAUGAUGUUAUUGGACAAAGUAGAAAUGUACACUGGGUGGGAGACAGAUAUGGAAGUGGGGGAUUACAGAGGCAAUCAGGAUACAGACCGGAAGAAAUUGAAGGAUGAGAGAUGGAUUCCAGUGGGAUUUCUAAACACAAGUCUGAGAAUAGGAUUAAUUAUAUAUUCCUGAUCUCCACUCAAGGUCUACUGAAUCUGAAACAGAAAUUCUAGGGGCGUGUCCUAUCAAUAUUCAUUUAAAAAUAAGAAUAAAGUGAUUUUUCACCACUCUAAAGUUUGAGAACCACUGGAUUAAAAUUGUAGCCAUGAGAAGGCUUGAGUCUCUCAGUAAUUCACUGUGUAGACUUUCUGUGAGUUGUGAAUUUAUACUAUUUUUAUGUUGCUUAUUAUAAAAAAAUAAUGAGCACAAAAUGGACCUACUACAUAAUACUAAAUGUUGGUAUUAUGCACUUCUAUUAGUGCAUUUGUAUGUAGAAAAAUAAUUGACCAAAAUCUAUUUAAUAUCAGAAAUAUCUCUUGGAGGUAUUAAUCUCAGAAGAUUGUCUCCACAUAGUAACUUAGAAUAGAUGAAUUGAGUUUUUGAAAACAUGGGUAAAAACUUAAAAACGAAUACCCAUGAGUGUCUUUGAACAUGAAUAAAUUGCCAAGAUUUUGCUUUGACUCUGAAUUUCUUACUCUGCUUAGACUGUAGUCAAACAUUUAGCUCUCCCUCAGUGUCAAAUGUGUUGCAAAUCCUAGAUAUUUUAUUGCAAAAACAGCUUAUUGAUGGUUACUAUGAACUCUGUUGAGAUUUAGCCACCAGGUGUCAGUAAGACUUGCAAAACAAUAGGUUUUUGCAAAGUACAGUGAUUCUGUUCAUUCAGUCUCUGGGAACAAAUUAAUAUAGUCUUUGGUUAUAUCUUUUUUUUUUUCUUUUCAGGAAAAGAAAGGCAAUCCGUUGACAGACCCAUGAACACAGCCAGAAUCUAAGUCCUUCCCCCUCCCCCCCCACUACACAUCAAAGCCUUGCUUCACCACACUUUCAGAAUAUGGACUGGGUUUUAAAUUUCCAAGAAUCGAGUACUUCAGUACUUCAAGAUUCACAGUGAGUGAGGAGGUUUAGCCCAACCAGAACGAAAAGGAUACAUCUGAAGAAGGUGAUAAGAAGACAGGGUAUCUUGUCAAAUAACAUGUAAACUCCAUGAUAGGUCAAUUAACAAGGAAAUAGUAGAAAAGGUGAGUACUAGUAGACUAUGAUAUUGCCAAAAGCAAUAGGCUGGGACAAUUGUGAAACUUAAAUAAAAUGUAGUCUUUUGAAACUAUUCAUCCAAACUUUUGUAUUAGCAUUCUCAUGUAUUCUUGUUGUAAUUGCUAUUAUUAUUGUCUGUGACAUUAGCUUUUCCUCUUCUGUUGUUGCUUAUAAGACUUAAAGAUAAAUUAAUUUGACCCUUGUGACAAGUCCCUGAACACCUGAGUUUAUUUCUCCUAUUUCAUAUAAACUUUGCAUUAAAAUUUGAAAUUAAGGGUGUCUGGUUGGUUAAGUGUCUGACUCUUGAUUUCGACUCAGAUCGUGAUGUCAUGGUUGUGAGAUCAAACCCCACUUCAGGCUCUGCCCCCAGCUCAGAGCCUGCUUAAGAUGGUCUUUCUCCCUCUCCUUCUGCCCCUCCCCGCCUUACUCUUUCUUUCUUUCAAAAAAUUUUUUUUUGAAAUUAAAAUUUUCGAAGCAUAUCGUAUCAAUGAUACCAUUACCAAGAAAUAUUCUAUUUCCUAUUGUUCUGGCAGAGAUGAGAUUUUUGUGAAAUGUAUUAACUCUCAUCUUCUUGAUAAUUACUUGAAUAGUCACUGUGUUCUGACAAAUCAUUUGGUUCAAUUCCUGUUCACUCUGAGUUUCCUCAGAGGCAGAUAUUUCAAGCACUUGGUGUAGCCAGCCUAUCUAGUUAAAGUCUGAACAAGGUCAUAUAGUCUGUUGACUCAUAUGGCAAUUCCUGUGUAGAACACAAAAUUCUACAUCAUCUUUGAAUCAAAUCCAAUAGAGCAAGAUCCCAGCUGUCCUAGUGUCUGUUGAAAGCAUAAGAUUGACCUAGUUUAAAUCGUUUCACGGAGUUAUUUUGGAGAAUUAGUCUUUAAGACUGCAAGAAUAAAACAAGUUUAUUUUAGAAAAUUUGACAAAUGAAGAAAAUACUAAAAUGAGAAAGAAAAGCAACUAUUAAUAUUUUGACCUACAACUCUCUCAAGAUUUUGUUUUAUCUUACUUGUUUCAGUGUUUACAGUAUUUUUAAACACAGCAGAAAAAAACUUCUAAUUUUGUAUCAGAAAUUACCUAUUUCAGAAUGAAUGGAAAGACUUUAUAGAAUGCCUUUUCUCAGGAUAAUAAAUGGUAAGCCGCAGUGACCAGAUUGUAUUGUUCCUAUGCCUUGGCAGGGUGAAGUCCCUGACAGCUACUGCCAGACAUAAAGCACUAACAUACAUCUUUUUUCCUCCUUCAAAUACAGCACAUUUGUAGAAAUUGAAGCAGGAAAGAAUUAUUGCAUAAAAAGAAGUAUGUGACUGGGAGAAAGGUUUAAACAUCUUUGAAUGCUCUAUAAACUAGGUCCAGUAUUAUAAGGGUGUGACUUAUUUUCCUCUAGUUACAAAAAAGUCUGGGUCUGUAGGGAGUGAAUGAUUGCAAUACUGCUGAGUAUCAUGUUUUCUCCUUAGUGUGCACCUGCUGUUUUGCCUCAAGGCUUCAUCACACUUUGGUUGGUGGACAUUCUAUUGAUAUUUGACAAAUUGAAAAAAAUAGUUCCAGUGCUUUCAAAUCUUUCCAUAUUACCUUUUAUUUUGUGCUGUGUUUCAGUGAGAAUGUGAGGAGAGGUUAAUCAGACAUUCAUAACUUUCUGACAUUUUACCCAGGAGUCCCUCUUUACCAUCACUAUGGAUAUUCUCAUUCUGAGUCAUUAAUGGGCACUUUUCCUCUUGUGGCUUUUCAGUAUGAGUCAGUCAAAUGCGUUUCUAGUGCCUAUCACUGUGUCCAGGAUGGAGCAGAUACUGAAAAAAAAUAUGGAAAGAGGCAAUAAAAUGUUUUUUUUUAGGAGAUACAGAUCUAUACCAGAUAUUAUUAAUACAAAAGAAAUCAUAUUUUUGGUUUAUCAUGUUUCAUCAAUGUAGUUGGGACAUCUGGUAGAUGUGAUUCAAGGCAGACACACAAUAUACGUGAGUGGCAAGAGGCAUGCACAAAUCUGAAUGAUAAACAUUAGACAGGAUUAUAACAAGGCAAUAUCACACAUUUAGAUUAUAUACAACAUCAGUACAAUUUCAUUCUGGGCAACGAAUAAUAAGAGAACUAGAACUUAAUGUUUGGUAUGAGUGGGUGAAUGGAACCCCAGUUGACAAAAAGUGAUGUUGUCAAGAAGGAAACCAUACUAUGAUAGUAUGUAGUGGAGAAAUUAGAUCAUAAAUUGAACUUUGGUUAUACUCGAACUGUAAGGUUGGAACAUGACCUGGGAAUAUCACUAGAUUUAUCACUUUUGAUGGUUUUCAGAUUGCUUAGGCAGCCAGGAUGCCCUUUUAAACUCUCCAUCUGACUGACUGUCUGCAUCCUUUCCUACAGAGCACAGGACUCGGCUACAGUGAUCCCUGCAUUUAUCAUGUUCAGAUGUGUCUAUUUCAAUGUGUUUUUCCAAAACUAGAACAGAAAACCAUGUGGAGAUUGCAGCUGGUACCCGAUACAGUACCUCACCUCAUGGUAUAAGAUAAUCUUCAAAAGAACAUUACUCAGACUCCCAUGUACACAAAAACAAAAUAUCCCCUAGAGAGGAUUAUCUAGCUCGCUGCAUGAAUAUCCAGUUAAAUAUUUUUCCAAAGUGACCUGUAACUUCUGGAAAACCCCAUGAAUAUCCUAAAUAUUACUCUUUUAAGAGAACUUGUAACUUAUCAGGAUAUUUUGUGAUUCAAAAUACCUAAAUUCGAAACAUUAUUUAAGAAGGAAUUAGUUUGAAUAGUAACAUUUUUCUUGGCCAUAGGCAGGAGUCUUUUCUAUCCUCAUGUGUUUUGGUUCUAAAAUGCAUUUGUGACUUUGGCUCUAUAGAAUAUAAUUAUGACUUACUGUUUUUCUCAUUCAUUCACUAGAUAUCUGUGGAGCACCUCUACCUUUAAACAAGUCUACUCUACUCCAUAGGAGAUACAAAUUUUUUAAAAAAUAUUUAUUUAUUUAUUUUUUUAUUCAUGAGAGACAGACACAGAGAGAGAGGGAGAGACACAGGCAGAAGGAGAAGUAGGCUCCCUGCAGGGAACCUGAUGUGGGACUCAAUCCAGAUUCCAGGAUCAUGCCUUGAGCCAAAGGCAGAUGCUCAACUGCUGAGCCACCCAGGUGUCCCCCCAAAAAUGUUUAAUUCACAAAAAUAAAUAGACCUGCCAGUGCUCACAGGAGAAGAGAAAACAAGAAAAUCACACAAAUCUUUAUAAACUAUAAAAAAACAACAACAGUACAUUCCUUGAGAAAAGUGCAAGUCAGUUAUUCUCAGUUGGGCCAAAAAGAGUGGUGGUGGAACUUUCUAAACAAUUUUCUUGUAAAAUCACAUUGAAUUCCUUAAA